GAUGAACGCUAGCUACAGGCUUAACACAUGCAAGUCGAGGGGAAACGGCAUUGAGUGCUUGCACUCUUUGGACGUCGACCGGCGCACGGGUGAGUAACGCGUAUCCAACCUUCCCAUUACUGUGGGAUAACCUGCCGAAGGGCAGACUAAUACCGCAUAGUCUUCGAUGACGGCAUCAGAUUUGAAGUAAAGAUUUAUCGGUAAUGGAUGGGGAUGCGUCUGAUUAGCUUGUUGGCGGGGUAACGGCCCACCAAGGCGACGAUCAGUAGGGGUUCUGAGAGGAAGGUCCCCCACAUUGGAACUGAGACACGGUCCAAACUCCUACGGGAGGCAGCAGUGAGGAAUAUUGGUCAAUGGACGGAAGUCUGAACCAGCCAAGUAGCGUGCAGGAUGACGGCCCUAUGGGUUGUAAACUGCUUUUGUAUGGGGAUAAAGUUAGGGACGUGUCCCUAUUUGCAGGUACCAUACGAAUAAGGACCGGCUAAUUCCGUGCCAGCAGCCGCGGUAAUACGGAAGGUCCAGGCGUUAUCCGGAUUUAUUGGGUUUAAAGGGAGCGUAGGCUGGAGAUCAAGUGUGUUGUGAAAUGUAGACGCUCAACGUCUGAAUUGCAGCGCAUACUGGUUUCCUUGAGUACGCACAACGUUGGCGGAAUUCGUCGUGUAGCGGUGAAAUGCUUAGAUAUGACGAAGAACUCCGAUUGCGAAGGCAGCUGACGGGAGCGCAACUGACGCUUAAGCUCGAAGGUGCGGGUAUCAAACAGG
rnacentral:rRNA from 1 species